UGGGUUGUAGCUCAGUGAUAGAGUGCCUGCCUCGAAUGCAUGAGGCACUGGGCUCGAUCCUCAGCACCACAU
rfam:Ictidomys tridecemlineatus contig035630, whole genome shotgun sequence.